ACAAGUAUGAAAGACAAGCUGAAAGACUUUUCUCAAUAAUGUAAGUGGUGGUGCAUGGCCGUUCUUAGUUCGUGGAGUGGUUCGUCUGGUCUAUUCCGAUAACGAGCGAGACCUCAAUGUUCUAAAUAGGGGAGGUUGCCCGGCCUGCCGCAAGGCUUGCUAGCAGCCUCUCUUUGCGAAAGCUUCUUAGACAGAUUAGGGCUGAUAAAGUCCUUGAAAUGGGUUAAUAACAGGUCAGUAUGCCCUUAGAUGUUCUGGGCUGCACGCGCGUUACAUUGGCAAGUCCUAGAAAGCGCUUGUUUUAGAGCAUCCCCACGGCCUAGCGGCUUGUGGUAAUCCCUAAUACUUGCCCUGGCUGGGAUAGUCCAUUGUAAUUAUUGGUCUUGAACCAGGAAUUUUUAGUAGGCGCGGGUCAUUAGCCUGCGCCAA
rnacentral:rRNA from 1 species